rnacentral:rRNA from 1 species
UACGGGGGGGGGCAAGCGUUGUUCGGAAUUACUGGGCGUAAAGGGCUCGUAGGCGGCCAACUAAGUCGGACGUGAAAUCCCUCGGCUUAACCGGGGAACUGCGUCCGAUACUGGAUGGCUUGAGAUUGGGAGAGGGAUGCGGAAUUCCUGGUGUAGCGGUGGAAUGCGCAGAUAUCAGGAGGAACACCGGUGGCGAAGGCGGGUCUCUGGGCAGUAACUGACGCUGAGGAGCGAAAGCGUGGGGAGCGAACAGG